CCUACGGGCGGCAGCAGUGAGGAAUAUUGGUCAAUGGACGAGAGUCUGAACCAGCCAAGUAGCGUGAAGGAUGACUGCCCUAUGGGUUGUAAACUUCUUUUAUAUGGGAAUAAAAUGUUCCACGUGUGGGAUUUUGUAUGUACCAUAUGAAUAAGGAUUGGCUAACUCCGUGCCAGCCGCCGCGGUAAUACGGAGGAUCCGAGCGUUAUCCGGAUUUAUUGGGUUUAAAGGGAGCGUAGGUGGAUUGUUAAGUCAGUUGUGAAAGUUUGCGGCUCAACCGUAAAAUUGCAGUUGAAACUGGCAGUCUUGAGUACAGUAGAGGUGGGCGGAAUGCGUGGUGUAGCGGUGAAAUGCUUAGAUAUCACGAAGAACUCCGAUUGCGAAGGCAGCUCACUGGACUGCAACUGACACUGAGGCUCGAAAGUGUGGGUAUCAAACAGGAUUAGAUACCCUUGUAGUC
rnacentral:rRNA from 1 species